AUUGAACGCUGGCGGCAGGCCUAACACAUGCAAGUCGAGCGAGCGGCGGACGGGUGAGUAAUGUAUGGGGACUGCCCGAUAGAGGGGGAUAACUACUGGAAACGGUGGCUAAUAACGCAUACUCUCGGAUCACCCAUAUGGGAUUAGCUAGUAGCUGGGGUAAAGGCUCACCUAGGCGACGAUCUCUAGCUGGUCUGAGAGGAUGCUCGGCCACACUGGGACUGAGACACGGCCCAGACGCCUACGGUGGCAGCAGUGGGGGAUAUUGCACGAUGGGCGAAAGCCUGAUGCAGCGACGCCGCGUGGGGGAUGAAGGCGUUGGGGUUGUAAACCUCUUUCGCUAUCGAACGGGUAGGUGGAGAAGAAGCGCCGGCUAACUACGUGCCAGCCGCCGCGGUAAUAC
rnacentral:rRNA from 1 species